CUGUCCUUUUUUGUUAUUUCUUUAUUUUUAGUUUACAACAACUGACUCCAAUGUAAAGUCAUAUAAACUUGGUGGUGAAACUGAUACUAAAAUAAUGAUUGAAAAUGACGGAUGGUUAUAUCUGAGGGAACCUUUUGACUGGGAAACAAAGAAGGUCCAUAUUAUAACGGAAAUCACAUUGGAACUCUGGAAACUUUUGACCUGGAUGAAUCAGACAGUUUAAACUCUGUGCUGAAGUAUCAGAUUUUGGAUCAGUAGCCGAAGCUGUCUUCUACCAUGUUCAUUAUCGAUGAGUACAGCGGUAAAAUCCAGAUUGAACACGACAGAUUCCAGAAAGCUACAGUGCUGGAGUACAAUUUAACAGUAAAGAUCACUGACAUGGCUGGAGAUCCCACAGGAUUCUACACUGUCUGCAGUGUAGUCAUAUGAAUAAUUGAAAGCAAUGACCAGAUUCCUAUAUUUGAUAAACAGCAGGUGUGGGUGAUGAUGUUUGGAUUUCCCGAACUGUAUCCCUUAUGGACAGGCUACACAACAGUUUUUUUCUCCCUUUUGUUCAGUAUGAACUCAAUCCCAUACAAGAAGACACACCAGUGGGAACCACAUUACUAACUAUUGGGGCUAUCGAUGAGGAUGAGCCAAAAACUGGCAGCUCCAACAUCCUGUACCACGUUGUAGAAGACGAUCCAGAAGGAACAUUUGUUAUCAGUACAGACGAAGAAACAAACCAAGGACAUGUGAUGAUUAACAAAGUAAGAAAUUCUUACUCAAAUCCAUCUGCUGAAACUUGUGAUUGGGAGGGAACUACAGUAGACCGUGGAGAAGAGGAUGGUAUGCUUGCUUCUUGAUUCAUAGCAGGCAUAAUGAAGCACUGAUGUGGCCACAUGUUAGAGUGGCUAACACUGUUUUCUAAAAAUAAAGGCCACCACACACCAGACAUGCUGUGUCAAGGUAAUAUGUGAAGUGAUGCAACAGAAUAAAUAGAACCUAUACUUUUGAUGGGAACCUGUCACAUCCCAGGUGACACCAGAAAGACACUGGAACGAUGUGAAAACAAUAGGAUUGAAUCCUAAUUUUUGCAAAUAUGUUGCACCACAGAUAGGGACUGCGCAAUCACAGCUCUCCAUCCAAGCAUGUGUGCUACCAGGAUAUAAUAAAAUCCAAAAAUUCAAGACUUUAUUUCAAAUUACCCUGAACUAUAAUUU